UUUCAUGUACUGGAAAAAUCAACUCUGUUACGGCUUAAUAUCCAGUUGUCAUUCCAUCGAAAAGACAUUCUUCAAUGAGCCUCAAUUAUAACGGGUUCCUAUAUCUCUAACACAGCCCCUAGUGUGAAAUGCCCACUUGAUGUGAAUGCACGGACAAGUACAAGUCAAUCUCUAUCAUGUGUUGAUUAAUUAAUAAGAACAAAG
rnacentral:misc_RNA from 1 species